UAUGUGCUGAUCACUGAUCGCUUAUCUCUUAUCCGGACCCUUUGUUCCCUCCAACUGCACCUCGGACGGAAUAAAUCGCCCCCAUUUAUCCAGCCAGCCUGGAACUUGGACUCAUCACAUUUUGCCAAUUGAAUUCCAGCCCAUGCUUUAGUUUAGUGGUGGUGAUCAUAAAUACAUACGUACGUACAUACAAUUCAUUCCGCAAGGUCAACCCUUUUAGAGGAGAGGUUUAUGUAGUUUGGUAGCACAUCAAGUAGUUUCGUCGUUCGAUUCGAUUGCUGCGAAAACAAGGCUUACUUAUGUAGUUUUACGUACUUUUGUGUUAAGUGUGUUAGUGGUUGAUGAGUGAGUGGCAAUGGUUUGGUAAAUAAGCAGAUAUUUAGUGUUGGUUGGGAGUGGUGGUGGUCUGGUCGAGGUGGAAAUGCGACAAGUGGUUCUUGGUUCGUGAUGUCGUCCAAGUUUCGCUUAAUGUAGUCACUUCCAAGUGUUUGUAUUAUCAUCUCGGUCGGUCGGUAGGAUUUAUUAGAGGGCUGCUAAAUGGUUAAGAAUUCGAGGCAAGUGAGGAGUAGCAGUUCUACUACUUAAUUCAAGUGAUAAGACAACGAGGACUAAAUUCUGUGGAAGAGAGAAAACCUGUCUUGUCAACAGUUAAACAAACAUUGGGAAUAAAGAAUCGGGGUAGCCGAUCCGUGAGUGAGUGAGUGAGUGAGUGAGGUAAGUGAAGUAAUGACUACUCAAAAUUCAUGGCGUGUCUUUUGCCAAGUAACAUGUUUUCUUACACGGUCCUCCGCGUCCGCCUAACAAGGAGACGGAGGAAGGGAGAGAGAAAGGUGCGGAGGAGAAAGUGUCACGUCCACGUCUUUCCAAAUCCAAUCCAAUGCCACCCGGGACGCCAGACUGCUACUUACUUACCCACCGACGACCAAACUCACUCACUCCUUGCUUACUUACAUAUACGAACAUAUACUCAAACUAAAGCUACUCCCACUUUAUUCUAAUCUCUCUCUCACUUUCUUCCUUUCUCAAACGAGAGGCAAGCCAAGCCAGGGGAGAAAAUGAAGAGGAAAUUUUAAGCCUGCCUGCUUUCUCCGGUCGACGUACGUACAGCCUCCUUCCUCUUUUUUACUCAGGUGGUAGGGUGCAAAAAUGGGAGAAAUUCGUAAGCUAUUUUGGGCAACAGAUUCCAGGAGAAAAGGGGAGAAAUUCAGGCACUUUUGUGACCAAAUUCCAACGAAACCGGGAGAAAUGAGCUUGUUUUUGGAACGAAUUGUGCCCAAAAUGAGAGAACUUCAACACUUUUUUAAAACAAAUUGUGCAAAAAAUGAGAGAAAUUCAUCUUGAAAACAAUUUUUGUAAAAAAUUGUAAAAAUUCUCUACUUGGAAUGAAUUUUAGCAAAAACUGGGAAAAAAUUCCUUCCUCGAUUAUUUUAUAACCACGUAUUUCGUAUUCUUAAAUCGGGACAAAAUUUCAUCCGUAAUGCUAUAAAAAUCCAUUCUUUUGCGUUUAAAGUGACACACAAUUUUAACUCGGUUACUCGGUUUUUGGUCAAAAUUUAGCCAAAAUGACAUCAUUCUCCUCCCAACCCUGUCUUUCAUUUGUGGCAAUAAACGAACUUCCAUAAAACGAGACAGCUUAAUUUUCCACGGGCGAGAACAACAUAACAUUUUACAUGGCACACAAUUUACGAGGAACUGGAACUUGGCUAAACUUUUGGGUUGUAGAAUGCCGUGAGGGAUGUCACUUUAUGUUCCUCACUACUACUACGAAAUUACGCAAGAAAAUCUCUCCUCCAAUCACAAUUUGCAUAAAAUCCUUACCUCUCACUUCAAAAAAUUGACUCAAAUCCAUCAAUUUUCACUUAAGUAAUAUUUCUCGAGUCAAAAAGUGUGCAAAAGAUUCAACAAAAUAAUUUUUGUCACGAUAUGAAGCCAGCAUUUUAAAAAAUAAGUGUUUAAAAAUUGUUAUGCAAAGUUAGAUGGAUGCUUAAUCUUGUUUUUCCAAAAGUUUAAAGCUUUAAAAUUUCAUUUUUUUAAACCCUUAAUUUUUUAUCAAGUACAAAAAUUCAAUCGUACCAAAAUUUCCGUAUUUUCUACAUAAAAAUGCCACCAAAUUCAUCAUUUAACACUAAACUAAUAACCUUUGUCUCAAAGUUUACAUAAAAAAAAUAAUUGUCACGGUAUAACGCCAAUAUUUUGAAAAUUUAAUGGUUAAACACGGUUAUGCAAAGUUAGAUGCAUAAAAUCUAACUGAUUUAUUUUUUAAAAAUUUUACAGUGGAAUUUUCCUACUAGUCUUUUACCAAUUACAGAAAUUCAAAUCCUCGUCCACCAUUUCUUUACCCAUCCUCCGAAGAAAACCUUUCAUAAAAUCCCCCCAAUCACUCCCCCUCCCCCCAAAAAACAACACCAAACUUUUCUCCUUCUUCUUUUUCUACCUACACAGAAAAAAAGUUGUAACAGCUAAUUAGCAAAAAAAUACGGGAAACGAACCCUCCCAACAAAAAAAACUUGCUCAACAACAAAAUCAUCACCAUCAUUAAAAAUUGUAUUUCCAAACUAGCCGAAAACAAGUGAAACUUUCCAACUACCAAUUUCGCAAUAAAAAACUUUAAACUUUCCUCCGUUUCAAGAACCUGUCAUAAAUAUUUAAUAUUUUACUUUCCCAGAAAAAUGUACGCCUUCUUCACUCCACUGAACUUUCUCCCUUUCUCCCAGAAUCCAGAUCAUGCGUAUACCCGAUUUCAGAUAUCUACUUCAUUCUUCUUAUCUCUAAAUUAGCCGAUAAGACGGCAAACAAUUAAUAAAUAUCUAAGCAAGUACUAAUUUCGCAAUCAACACGUUUCGCAAUAAAAAACACUUUAAACUUUC